UACGGAGGGUGCGAGCGUUGUCCGGAAUCACUGGGCGUAAAGGGCGCGUAGGUGGCGCGGGCAGUCAACGGUGAAAGUUCGGGGCUCAACCCUGAAUCGGCCGUCGAUACUCCCGUGCUUGAGCACUGUAGAGGCAGAUGGAAUUCCGGGUGUAGCGGUGGAAUGCGUAGAGAUCCGGAAGAACACCGGUGGCGAAGGCGGUCUGCUGGGCAGUAGCUGACACUGAGACGCGAAAGCCAGGGGAGCGAACGGG
rnacentral:rRNA from 1 species